UACGUAGGGUGCAAGCGUUGUCCGGAAUUAUUGGGCGUAAAGAGCUCGUAGGCGGUUCGUCGCGUCGGCUGUGAAAACCUGAGGCUCAACCUCAGGCCUGCAGUCGAUACGGGCGGACUUGAGUACUGCAGGGGAGACUGGAAUUCCUGGUGUAGCGGUGAAAUGCGCAGAUAUCAGGAGGAACACCGGUGGCGAAGGCGGGUCUCUGGGCAGUAAACUGACGCUGGAGGGAAG
rnacentral:rRNA from 1 species